rnacentral:misc_RNA from 1 species
CAUCAUGAUGCUGCCGGCGAAAAUCUGCGGAUCGUUCAUGCCGGCAAAAAUGUCGAAAUGACGCGACAUCGCAGCGACGUACCACGCGACGGACAGUGUUACGGCUGCCGCUCCUCCGCCCCUGACCCGGGGGGAAAAGCCGCAACCAGCUGCAGUUAUAAGGAUACCGAGCAGUGAAAGACAUCGACCAAUAAUUAUAGCGUCAAAGCUCAAAACUCUCGUAAGCCAAUGGGCCAGGAUGAAUGAAAGAGGAGGAUAGUUAUUUGCGAUCAGCGCGUCAGACGGGGGAUAGAGCGGCAACCCGGCGGCCAGUCUGUCGACCUGAUAAGCGUUCCAAGCUUCGUUGCCGUCGAUUUCGAGCGGCCAUUGCGCACGCCACACGAGCCAAUUGAAGAAAAUGACUGCCAAAGCGACGAGCAGAGCGAUCAGAAUAUUGGGCCACUCAAGGCGGCUCCUAAGCGCGGUCAUACAGCUUCUUUCCUGAGAUCCCGGAGUCGUUGUAGUAGUCGCGCGCAAAGUCUCCAGGGAUCUUCAUCAUGGGUGAAACAUCCUCUCGCGCGACUAAUGGCGUUUCGCU